AUGGCCAUAGGGGUUGAUCUUGAUGUAGCGGUGGCGCGCCUCGUUAUGUUGAUUCAGUCAGCUGAAAAUUGUCAAUUGGAGAUUGGUGAAUGCAGUAGACAGAUGUUUAUUGCUGUUUUGUUAAUUGUACAGAAUGAGGACGCAUCCAAGGUUGAGUUUAGGGCUCCUGGAACAUGUGUGCUGUACCUCGGAGCUGCCUUUGGAGCAACCGUGUCUCAUGUGUCUGACAUUGUUGGACCGACUGGGUUGGUGUAUGCCAUUGAGUUCUCUCACCGGAGUGGUAGGGAUCUUGUCAACAUGGCUAAGAAGAGGACCAAUGUCAUCCCCAUUACUGAGGAUGCUAGGCACCCAGCAAAGUAA
rnacentral:rRNA from 1 species